rnacentral:rRNA from 1 species
UUGCCAGACUCCUACGGGAGGCAGCAGUGGGGAAUAUUGCACAAUGGGGGAAACCCUGAUGCAGCGACGCCGCGUGAGUGAAGAAGUAUUUCGGUAUGUAAAUCUCUAUCAGCAGGGAAGAAAAUGACGGUACCUGAUUAAGAAGCCCCGGCUAACUACGUGCCAGCAGCCGCGGUAAUACGUAGGGGGCAAGCGUUAUCCGGAUUUACUGGGUGUAAAGGGAGCGUAGACGGCAGCGCAAGUCUGAAGUGAAAUGCCGGGGCUUAACCCCGGAACUGCUCUUGGAACUGCGUGGCUGGAGUGCAGGAGGGGCAGGCGGAAUUCCUGGUGUAGCGGUGAAAUGCGUAGAUAUCAGGAGGAACACCGGUGGCGAAGGCGGCUUACUGGACUGUAACUGACGUUGAGGCUCGAAAGCGUGGGGAGCAAACAGGAUUAGAUACCCUAGUAA